rnacentral:rRNA from 1 species
GAUGAACGCUGGCGGCGUGCCUAAUACAUGCAAGUCGAGCGAACGGACGAGAAGCUUGCUUCUCUGAUGUUAGCGGCGGACGGGAGAGUAACACGUGGAUAACCUACCUAUAAGACUGGGAUAACUUCGGGAAACCGGUGCUAAUACCGGAUGAUAUUUUGAACCGCAUGGUUCAAAAGUGAAAGACGGUCUUGCUGUCACUUAUAGAUGGAUCCGCGCUGCAUUAGCUAAUUGGUAAGGUAACGGCUUACCAAGGCAACGAUGCAUAGCCGACCUGAGAGGGUGAUCAGCCACACUAGAACUGAGACACGGUCCAGACUCCUACGGGAGGCAGCAGUAGGGAAUCUUCCGCAAUGGGCGAAAGCCUGACGGAGCAACGCCGCGUGAGUGAUGAAGGUCUUCGGAUCGUAAAACUCUGUUAUUAGGGAAGAACAUAUGUGUAAGUAACUGUGCACAUCUUGACGGUACCUAAUCAGAAAGCCACGGCUAACUACGUG